GGUGCUUUUCCAAGAGGUUAACGUAACCAGUGAGAUGUAGAUUUUUUUGAGCCUUUGCUAACUUCAGGUAACGUUAAUGUGAAAACUUUAACAAAUCUGUUUGAUAUAAAGUCUGCUUUGUAUAGUUAGCCUAAUUUAUUACCUUAGGGCGACCAAAUACUUUUUCCUUGAAAUGAUUAAAUAUGCUAUUUAUAGAUAUGGGUCUAUAUUUAUGUCGGCAGGCAAAUCUUGUGUGUAUUUUGGCACAGGGUGCACAAAGGCACCUUAUCAGUGCGGUGACACUUGAACAAAUGAACUGAUCAUGCGCGACACUGACCAAUAAACAAACGAGUUGUUUUGUUGCGUCUAUGACUUGAAUCUUAUCAUCAGUUGUAGUGAUGGGAAGUUCGGAUCAUUUUAACGAAUCGGACUUUUGAGUCUCGUUCAGCAAAAUGAACGAAUCUUUUUUCGAGUCAUUUCAAAUAAACGAACAACCCGAAGGUUCAGGAAGAAAAAAACAAAGUGCUUGCAGUCUGUUUCACAUUAGGAGGCAUUUUGCUGCAUAAUCGAUCCACCACAAACCAUAUACAACUAUGGAAGCUCAACUUCCAUUAAAUGGACUGAAAACGCUCAAGAGACACUUUGACAAGUGGGCACUGGAUGCUGAGUAUUGAAGGCGAGGUGGUGUGUGAGGGCACUCAGCCCAGUUUCCUGUCCGGCCUUGCCACUCUGUUUGCUGCUUAUUACUAGUUUAAUCUUGAGUAUCAGGAGGAAGCAGUGUGUACCUUGGAGUUCAUUCAAAGGUGCUUUGUGGGCAUAAAUCCAGAGAGAGGAUCCAAAGCCAAGGGAAAAGUGCCAUCGAAAUAAAAACAGGACAAGUGAUACAGAUAAAAAUGUGUGGCAGUCAACCCACAUGUUGCCACUCUUCUGUGCAAAUUCCAAUGGAAUUUCUGAAAUUCACACUUUGAAUCCUGGGAUGGAACUUCAUCUGGAGCAUAAUUGUUAUUUGGUUGAUUUUUAUCUGUUUGAUGGAAAGUUUGUAUGACUUCUGCAAGUGCGCGGCUCCUUCCGGUCAGUCAUGCAUCACUUUUUUUUGUAUGACUUGUUUGGCCAUAUUGGUCUAUUCUUUAAUGAUGAAAGCUAUCUGAAAAUGUCUUUGUGGUUUUUAAAGGAUUAGUUCACCCAAAAAUGAAAAUUAAGUCAAUUAUUACUUAUGUCGUUCCACACCCGUAAGAUCUUCGUUCAUCCUCACAACACCCAUUAAGAUGUGGCUCAG